rfam:Providencia rettgeri Dmel1 chromosome, whole genome shotgun sequence.
UUCCAAAUAAAACUCCUAGCCUUUGCGUCUAAGUUUGAAUGACUGAAUAUGAUGCACUGGCCGUGGCCUAGAGCCACCAGGGUGCAAGAUAGAAAUGUCUGCAUCUCCCGUACUUGGAAAGGUGUGAUUAUGCAGCAACU